rnacentral:rRNA from 1 species
UCGAGGAUCUUCGGCAAUGGGCGCAAGCCUGACCGAGCGACGCCGCGUGCGCGAUGAAGGCCUUCGGGUUGUAAAGCGCUGUCGAGGGGGAGGAAGCUCCGCAAGGGGUUGACCUAUCCCUGGAGGAAGCACGGGCUAAGUUCGUGCCAGCAGCCGCGGUAAGACGAACCGUGCGAACGUUGUUCGGAAUCACUGGGCUUAAAGGGCGCGUAGGCGGCAAAGCAAGUCCGGGGUGAAAGCUUUCGGCUCAACCGGAAAAGGGCCUUGGAUACUGCUUUGCUCGAGGGAGGUAGGGGCAGGUGGAACUUCCGGUGGAGCGGUGAAAUGCGUAGAGAUCGGAAGGAACGCCGGUGGCGAAAGCGACCUGCUGGACCUCUUCUGACGCUGAGGCGCGAAAGCCAGGGGAGCAAACGGGAUUAGAUACCCCCGUAGUCC